UAGCACAGUGGCUAGUGCCCUCGAUUCUCAAUCGAGAGGUUGCGGGUUCGAGUCCCUGGC
rnacentral:tRNA from 1 species